UACAGAGGGUGCUAGCGUUGUUCGGAAUCAUUGGGCGUAAAGGGCGUGUAGGCGGUUUGUUAAGUCAUGUGUGAAAGCCCCCCGGCUCAACCGGGGAACGACGCAUGAAACUGGCAAGCUAGAGUACCGAAGAGGGGGGUGGAAUUCCCGGUGUAGCGGUGAAAUGCGUAGAUAUCUGGAGGAACACCGGUGGCGAAGGCGGCAUCCUGGACCAACACUGACGCUGAGGAGCGAAAGCCAGGGGAGCAAACGGG
rnacentral:rRNA from 1 species